GAGAACCCGAGGAGCUUCCGGUGCAACCCCCAGAGACCAAAGACUGGAGACCAUGUAGUCUGGUAUCCAAAGACAAAGCAGGCUGACUGAUAUGAAGUUGAGGCCUUUCCCAUCAAGACAAGCUACAAAGACCAAAGACGGAAAAAAUACAGAGUAAGAAGAUGUGAAGAGUUAAAGCUCCCCAAGUGAAACCACGUCGCCCUUGGCUCGAAGAAGAAUGAUGUAGAAGGUGGCAUCCUGAGUGCUGAGCCUACCUAGAACACUCAGCAAACCAGCUGCACAGUGACCAGCAAUUGUGGUCCAGGAAGCACAUGAGAAGACCUGGGAAAGUC